rnacentral:rRNA from 1 species
AUUAAAAACUUCAAAGGAAUUGACGGGGACCCGCACAAGCGGUGGAUGAUGUGGAUUAAUUCGAUGCAACGCGAAAACCUUACCUACCCUUGACAUGUCAGGAAGUCCGCUGAGAGGUGGAUGUGCCCGAAAGGGAACCUGAACACAGGUGCUGCAUGGCUGUCGUCAGCUCGUGUCGUGAGAUGUUGGGUUAAGUCCCGCAACGAGCGCAACCCUUGUCAUUAAUUGCCAUCAUUCAGUUGGGCACUUUAAUGAGACUGCCGGUGACAAACCGGAGGAAGGUGGGGAUGACGUCAAGUCCUCAUGGCCCUUAUGGGUAGGGCUUCACACGUCAUACAAUGGUCGGUACAGAGGGUCGCCAACCCGCGAGGGGGAGCCAAUCCCACAAAGCCGAUCGUAGUCCGGAUCGCAGUCUGCAACUCGACUGCGUGAAGUCGGAAUCGCUAGUAAUCGUGGAUCAGCAUGUCACGGUGAAUACGUUCCCGGGUC